rnacentral:rRNA from 1 species
AUUGAACGCUGGCGGCAUGCUUUACACAUGCAAGUCGAACGGUAACAGGCCUUCGGGCGCUGACGAGUGGCGAACGGGUGAGUAAUGCAUCGGAACGUGCCCAGUCGUGGGGGAUAACGCAGCGAAAGCUGUGCUAAUACCGCAUACGAUCUGUGGAUGAAAGCGGGGGACCUUCGGGCCUCGCGCGAUUGGAGCGGCCGAUGUCAGAUUAGGUAGCUGGUGGGGUAAAGGCCCACCAAGCCGACGAUCUGUAGCUGGUCUGAGAGGACGACCAGACACGCUGGGACUGAGACACGGCCCAGACUCCUACGGGAGGCAGCAGUGGGGAAUUUUGGACAAUGGGCGCAAGCCUGAUCCAGCAAUGCCGCGUGCAGGAAGAAGGCCUUCGGGUUGUAAACUGCUUUUGUACGGAGCGAAAAGGCUCCCUCUAAUACAGGGGGCUCAUGACGGUACCGUAAGAAUAAGCACCGGCUAACUACGUGCCAGCCGCCGCGGUAA